GUAAUAUUGAUUGUGUUGAUGCUGACCAGAUGUACAAACACAUUUGGAUACUUGGUGCUGGUCUUUCAAUGAUCAAAUUAAUUUUGCUUAUAUAAUAUUUGAUCAAAGUCAGAACAUUCAAAUUAUCAGUAGUAGCAGGGCAGUAGUGUGAAUUAACAUACAUGAUUUCGGGAUGAAUAACAGCAAUGAUGAAAACUAGCAGACCCAAUGAACACAUUUGAAAGGCAGCCAGAGUAUACACUUCAGCACCUACUCACACAUGGAUUGGAAAACAGUCGUUCCUUGUAGUAAUGGAAUACUAGUGGUAACCGUUUGAUUUAAUUAAGAAUUAGUCUGGUAACAUAGAUUUAGAACUAAUUUAAUCAAAGUUGAUAUCCUCUUACUUUCAACAAUUAAAGAACACAAUGAAGCUAAUUAGUAUAAAUUCAACUUACCUCACGGGCGAAUUGAUCGACGACGUUGUUAUAGUUGUGGUACAUUUGUGGAGGUCUCUGUACGAAUGUAAAUAUUUUGCGUCUUCUACCAUAGUACAACAAAUAUUGAACUAAUAUAGGUAACCCAUAACCCCCCUGCAGUCUGACAGCCAAGUCUAUUUGGAUAUUAAUGAAAUAGGCCCGCAAACAAGGACCAACACUAGUCUAGAUUGGGAGUUUCGUGAUAAUG